rnacentral:rRNA from 1 species
AUUGAACGCUGGCGGCAGGCCUAACACAUGCAAGUCGAACGAGUGGCGGACGGGUGAGUAAUGUCUGGGAACCUGCCUGAUGGAGGGGGAUCACUACUGGCAACGGUAGCUAAUACCGCAUACCAUCGGAUGUGCCCAUAUGGGAUGAGCUUGUAGGUGGGGUACAGGCUCACCUAGGCGACGAUCCCUAGCUGGUCUGAGAGGAUGACCAGCCACACGGGAACUGAGACACGGUCCAGACUCCUACGGGAGGCAGCAGUGGGGAAUAUUGCACAAUGGGCGCAAGCCUGAGGCAGCCAUGCCGCGUGUAUGAAGAAGGCCUUCGGGUUGUAAAGUACUUUCAGCGGGGAGUCGUUACCCGCAGAAGAAGCACCGGCUAACUCCGUGCCAGCAGCCGCGGUAAUAC